rnacentral:snRNA from 1 species
GUGCUGUCGCGGCACUAAAAUUGAACAUACAGAGAUUAGCACAGCUCUGCGUAAGGAUGACAUGCAAAUUUGUGAAGUGUUCCAUAUUUUA